AACGGCGUAAUGAAAGUGAAGGUUCGCCUAGCGCGAACCGAGGGAGGAUGGACGGUCGAUCGUGGCCGUCCCGCACUCCCUGGGCGUCUCGUUCUCAUCGCGAGAAGAGGCGCACCAAGAGCGUACACGCUGGGACCCGAAAGAUGGUGAACUAUGCCUGGUCAGGACGAAGUCAGGGGAAACCCUGAUGGAGGUCCGUAGCGAUUCUGACGUGCAAAUCGAUCGUCGGAACUGGGUAUAGGGGCGAAAGACUAAUCGAACCAUCUAGUAGCUGGUUCCCUCCGAAGUUUCCCUCAGGAUAGCUGGCGCUCGCUUCUCGCGAGUCUCAUUCGGUAAAGCGAAUGAUUAGAGGCAUUGGGGUCGAAACGGCCUCAACCUAUUCUCAAACUUUAAAUGGGUGAGAUCUCCGGCUUGCUUGAACUGUGAAGCCGCGAGAUAUCGGAUCAGAGUGCCAAGUGGGCCACUUUUGGUAAGCAGAACUGGCGCUGUGGGAUGAACCAAACGCCGAGUUAAAGCGCCUAAAUCGACGCUUAUGGGA
rnacentral:rRNA from 1 species